AAGUCGUAACAAGGUUUCCGUAGGUGAACCUGCGGAAGGAUCAUUACCAAAUCCAAAUAUCCAAACCCCAUGUGAACUAUUGUAUAGUCUGUCUUUGGGAGAAAAAGCGAAUUAUAUUUAAAAAAUUAAACUUUGGUUUUCUUUUUUAUAUAUAUAUGAAAUUUUUUCUCCCAAUAGAGUCCGGCGCAAAUUUAUUUUUGUGUCCUGAUUCGAAAACCCCUUUUAAACCACUUGAUUUUUCUGUUGGAAUUAACUUUUAUUAAUUAUAAAUAAAAGACAACUUUUAACGGUGGAUCUCUUGGCUCGUG
rnacentral:misc_RNA from 1 species